rnacentral:rRNA from 1 species
UACCAGCACCCCGAGUGGUCGGGACGUUUAUUGGGCCUAAAGCAUCCGUAGCCGGUUCUACGAGUCUUCCGUUAAAUCCAACUGCUUAACAGGUGGGCUGCGGAAGAUACUAUAGAGCUAGGAGGCGGGGAGAGGCAAGCGGUACUCGAUGGGUAGGGGUAAAAUCCGUUGAUCCAUUGAAGACCACCAGUGGCGAAGGCGGCUUGCCAGAACGCGCUCGACGGUGAGGGAUGAAAGCUGGGGGAGCAACCGG